rnacentral:lncRNA from 1 species
CAUUUAUAUAUAUACACCAUGAGGGAAACUUCAUGAGGGUGUUGAUGAGGACAGAGAUGAGAGAAAGUCCAAGCAACACAUCUUAAUUAAUGAAUGGUUGAAUUGAGGAGUAUGCUGAUGGAUGGAUGGAUGCCACAAAGGGUUGACUUGCAUUAGAACGGCCACAUACAAAUCACAUUCAAUAGCAGUUCCAUGAUUGGGGGUUUCAUUCCCUCUUGAUUGCCACCCACUGUGGCCCCCUAUCCCAUUGUGAACAUAUACAUCCAAUUUUUAUUUAUUAAAUGUACA